GGCCGCGGGAAUUCGAUUCAGGCCUAACACAUGCAAGUCGAACGAAACUUCUUUAUCACCGAGUGCUUGCACUCACCGAUAAAGAGUUGAGUGGCGAACGGGUGAGUAACACGUGGGCAACCUGCCCAAAAGAGGGGGAUAACACUUGGAACCAGGUGAUAAUACCGCAUAACCAUAGUUACCGCAUGGCAACUAUGUAAAAGGUGGCUAUGCUCCCGCUUUUGGAUGGGCCCGCGGCGCAUUAGCUAGUUGGUGAGGUAAAGGCUUACCAAGGCAAUGAUGCGUAGCCGAACUGAGAGGUUGAUCGGCCACAUUGGGACUGAGACACGGCCCAAACUCCUUCGGGAGGCAGCAGUAGGGAAUCUUCCACAAUGGGCGAAAGCCUGAUGGAGCAAAAGGCGCGUGGGUGAAGAAGGUCUUCGGAUC
rnacentral:rRNA from 1 species